rnacentral:tRNA from 2 species
GCCACUUUAGCUCAGUAGGUAGAGCACAUCCUUGGUAAGGAUGAGGUCGUCGGUUCGAUUCCGAUAGGUGGCUCCA